GAUGAACGCUGGCGGCGUGCUUAACACAUGCAAGUCGAACGAAGCACUUUAUUUGAUUUCCUUCGGGACUGAUUAUUUUGUGACUGAGUGGCGGACGGGUGAGUAACGCGUGGGUAACCUGCCUUGUACAGGGGGAUAACAGUUGGAAACGGCUGCUAAUACCGCAUAAGCGCACAGCAUCGCAUGAUGCAGUGUGAAAAACUCCGGUGGUAUAAGAUGGACCCGCGUUGGAUUAGCUAGUUGGUGAGGUAACGGCCCACCAAGGCGACGAUCCAUAGCCGACCUGAGAGGGUGACCGGCCACAUUGGGACUGAGACACGGCCCAAACUCCUACGGGAGGCAGCAGUGGGGAAUAUUGCACAAUGGGCGAAAGCCUGAUGCAGCGACGCCUCGUGAGCGAAGAAGUAUUUCGGUAUGUAAAGCUCUAUCAGCAGGGAAGAUAAUGACGGUACCUGACUAAGAAGCACCGGCUAAAUACGUG
rnacentral:rRNA from 1 species